UAUCCAAGAGCGUGCGAUUGCAACGCCGGCGUCCCCGGCCUCGCACGCGUGGGUUUUAGACUUCCUCGUUCUUAUCGCUCUCUCCUCUCUCUCUCUCUUCCCUUUUCUCCGCCGCUGCCCGGAGCGCCACCGGCCCAAGCCGUUACCUCCUGAGUCUCUCUCUCGCUCGCUCGCUCGCUCUUCGCCGACGAGAGCCGGACGGCCACCGCGGGCCUCCGGAGCACUCGGCGGCUGCCGGCGCCUUCAUUACCACCAUCGUCCCUCUCGACCCUUCUUUCCCUCGCCGGACCCUUGCCACCACAGGCCCCACCCAUCCACCGCCUGCCGCGCCCACUCCCCACCCCCCCAACCUCUCUCUCCCCCUCACGGCCGGACAACGGAGAUCGCCGACGCACAAAGAUGUUGAUUGGCCGCGUUUUGGGAUGGCUCGGUUUUUCGUCCAUGUGGGGCCUCUGUGAUUGGGGAAAAUCUUGGGCCGCCCCCCAGGAUUUCCAUGAAGGAUAUCUGAGCCCUGCAGGUUACCUUGUUGAUUGCUGGUUGCUGGCACCGGUAUUUACAUUGUGCCAUUUCUGUCGGUUCAUAUAAUCCGAAUAGAUGUUGACAGACGAGGAAAGGCUACUACGAGGACACUAUUAGGACGACCAUGUUCGCAUUGGAGUUGCUUCCCCUUCUGAAGAAGAAGCCAACGUCAUUGGAUAAGAGCCUCUGGGAUCAUCUGCCUAAAGUUUCCAGAUGGGAUAUUGCUUUGCAUUUUGCUUGGUUUUAUUUACUUUGGUGUUUUCUCCGUGAUUCUCCCAAGUUCUUGAAGUUUGUUGCACAGCACGGUACAUUUGAGGUCAGGCCUUCUGAGGAUGAUUCAGGGGUCAUCUUUCACUUAUUUAGCUGUUCACUGAGAGAGAUGCGACACUAGCAAAAUCUCAGGAAGCAUACAAUUGAUGAAGACCUUCCAACUGCAACAAGAAACCGUAUCAUAUUUCUGAUAUUCCAGAAAAAGAAAAGUCAUAGAUUUGCAGAAAAAUAAAGUUAAGCUUUUGGCUAAGAAGAAAAGCCUGGUUUCUGAUGAAUCAAGGAUCGGACUUCUAUAAAGCCAAUAAAUGUGGCAGAAAAGCCAAGCCUUCUAGUGUAGAAAAAAGUCAUUCCACGGGAAAAAUUAGCAAUUGCACUACAGGGCAAAGUACUUGACGACUCUGAGAAGAAAGUAAAGACUUUAAAGGAAAGUUCACAAUCUGACUCAUGUGAAGCUGAUGGAGCUGUUAUUGAGGACAAUAAGAUAACUAAGAAAGAGAAGGCACCAACUGUUAUUCCAAAAUCUUCUGGAAAAACAAUAGAAAGCUCCUUUCCUGUGCUAGGUAAUGGAACGGUAAAGAAAAUGAUUUCUCUAAUGUGGGAGGCAUCGUCUUCUGGAACCUUUGAAGAUGUCAGCAGAAGCGCCAGUGCCUUCAACUACACUGGGCAAGGUUGAGGGUUCUGUUGAGGCAACUCGAACAAACAACUCUACAAAGGCUAUGAAAUAGGGGCAGUAUUGAGGAUACCAAAGCUGUCUGUGAACCAGCUAUUCUGAAGUGAAUACUGAGGUGGAGUGUAUGUAAAUAUUAUUAACCAUUGUAAGAAUACUUAUUUUUAUUGAUCCAUAUUUGAUAUAAUAUCAAAUGCAACUAGUGUUCAGAGAGUGCUGUACUAUUUUCGUCCACAGUUUUUUGACAUUUUGGCCUGUUUCUUGUUUGUUUGGCCUUUAUUUAGUGCACAAUCAUGACUUUUGUUUUUGGUAUUUGCAUAUAUUUCUUGUCAUUUGCACAGUUUGCUUUUGCAUAGCCAGUUAGUGCUGGGUAUAUAUGGGGUGCACAUUGUCUGUUCAGGAGGGAGAAGGAUUUUGUUGAUGGCUGUGAUAUUAACAGUCAUAAUUGUUUGGAAUAGAUUUGGUAAUAUACUCUUCGUUUCAGUUUUCUGCUUUCUUUCCCUUUCUCAAUUUAUUAGGGAGUUUAUCUACUAAAAGAAUAGUGUGUCUGGAAAUGAAAUGAGUUAUGUGACUUCAUGCACAGGCAUCCAGCAUUGUAGAUAGCAUAGAUAUUUUGUAUAGUUAUUUAUUGCAUUAAUUUAUGGAGUCAUUUUUGUCUGUGUUGAAUCAUAUUAGUCUUUAGGGAGACACCGACCGACCAAUCAAAUUAACAUAUCCACUCAUGACACGCACCGUGGUUGCCAUCUAAUUCUUUAAUAUGCAUUACGACUAGUCUAUAUUAUUUAGUAAUUUAUUUUUUGUGGAUCUAUAAUUUAUUGUUAUUUUUUAGCUUUAAAAAUUAUUAUUAAGACUGAAUCUCGCAAUGGCAAGAGCCUCAUGCACCAACCAGACUGCCUUUAUUAAAAAAAUACUUGUCAUGGCUUGUUUUUGCUAUUGUGGACAAAAAUAAACUGAAGCAAUGAAAAUAUUACUUCUUUUUGUUUGAC